rnacentral:rRNA from 1 species
GACGAACGCUGGCGGCGUGCUUAACACAUGCAAGUCGAACGGUAAGGCCCUUCGGGGUACACGCGUCGCGAACGGGUGCGUAACAUGUGGGUGAUCUGCCCUGCACUUCGGCCUCAGCCCCGGCGACUUGGUCUCAUACCGGAUAUGACCACCACCUGCAUGGGUGGUGGCGGAAAGCUUUUGCGGGGUGGGAUGGGCGCGCGGCCUGCCAGCUUGUUGGUGGGGGGAUGGCCUCCCAAGGCGGCGACGGGUAGCCGGCCUGGGAGGGUGACCGGCCACACUGGGACUGAGAUACGGCCCAGACUCCUACGGAGGCAGCAGUGGGGAAUAUUGCACAAUGGGCGCAAGCCUGAUGCAGCGGCGCCGCGUGAGGGAUGACGGCCUUCGGGUUGUAAACCUCUUUCAGCACCGACGAAGCGCAAGUGACGGUAGGUGCAGAAGAAGGACCGGCCAACUACGUACCAGCCGCCGCCGUAAGAC